ensembl:snoRNA
UACUGUUGAACUAAACAAACUUAAUAUGUAAAUAUUUUAAAGUGAACUGUACACUUUAAAAUGGUAAAAAUGAGGCGAUACAGAGCAAUGUGUGUUCACUGUAAGGGCAGACCGACAAUAUUCUUCCUACUUGUGGGCUGCCUCUCUUCAAUGGAGGCUGUUCUUCCCGUUGCCAGAGAGAACAUGGGGUAACGAGUGAGAGAGUAGGAAUAGGGCAUGCUCGGGACAUCAGGGUCAGGGAUCCAGAGGGCUUAGACUGUGCUGUGGCCACUGAGAGAUGAAACACAGAUCUUUGGUAAUCUGAUGGCU